ACAGUUGGGUUGAGGGCCAGAUCGGAGCCAUUUGGGACCGUGGGUCCCUUGUGGCCAUUAACACCGAAGACAGAGAAAAGUACGCCUCACUCCUUCUGUCUCUGAUGGCCGAAGACUGCAGAUAUCUGUUGUCCACGCUACUCUAUAACCCUGAGCAACACAAAGGUCCUCCGUUCCUGGUCCCCAACGAGCAGAUCCUCGCUCUGUUCGGUGAGUCCUCAGAGUCCACU